rnacentral:rRNA from 1 species
AUUGAACGCUGGCGGCAUGCCUUACACAUGCAAGUCGAACGGUAACAGGUCUUCGGAUGCUGACGAGUGGCGAACGGGUGAGUAAUACAUCGGAACGUGCCCGAUCGUGGGGGAUAACGGAGCGAAAGCUUUGCUAAUACCGCAUACGAUCUACGGAUGAAAGCAGGGGACCGCAAGGCCUUGCGCGGACGGAGCGGCCGAUGGCAGAUUAGGUAGUUGGUGGGAUAAAAGCUUACCAAGCCGACGAUCUGUAGCUGGUCUGAGAGGACGACCAGCCACACUGGGACUGAGACACGGCCCAGACUCCUACGGGAGGCAGCAGUGGGGAAUUUUGGACAAUGGGCGCAAGCCUGAUCCAGCCAUGCCGCGUGCAGGAUGAAGGCCUUCGGGUUGUAAACUGCUUUUGUACGGAACGAAAAGACUCUUUCUAAUAAAGAGGGUCCAUGACGGUACCGUAAGAAUAAGCACCGGCUAACUACGUGCCAGCCGCCGCCGUAAUAC